AUCCAGAUGACGAGUCUCAAACAGGUCAAAACGUGCGUCUUGUAU
rnacentral:hammerhead_ribozyme from 1 species